UGUUGGCUAGCCAAGUCGUGGAUGUUGGCUGGUUGCAUAAGUAGUGACAGAUGAUAAGUUGCAUAGAGGGUGAUGAGAAGUUUCAUAGGGGCGGAUCAGACAGUUGCCCACAAGCCUACACAAGUUGUUCAUAUUUUUUGCAUGAGUUGCCCGUGAAAAUUAUUGAAAUCUCCAGAUAUAAUUAUGGAAAACACACAUGAAUUGCUUGUUGAAUGCACUGGAGUUGCACAAAAACACCCCAAAAGUUGCUAACUAUUUUUGUUUGAUAUUCGGGUUGCCUAACGAUCUUAAAAUGCUAGUCAUCCGAGCAUCACCGAUAGAUAACUUCAUAGUGUUUUAGACAACUUAGGAAUAACACAAUGAUAAGCAGCUUCACAAUUGUAGGCAACUAAUUUGCAAAGUUAGACAACUAAGCAGUAAUGAUAGGUAACUAAUUAUCAAUAGCAGGUAACUGUACAUCAAUGAUAGGUUAAUUUCAUAGUAUUGUAGGCAACUGGGCAUCACUGAUAGGCAACCGAAUAUCCAUGAUAAGCAACUGAGCAACCAUGGUAGGCCAGUUGUGAUAAUUUUAACAAAAUUGAUUGAUACACAUAAUGCAAUGAAGUUACUUAUAUGUAGCUCUAAAGGUGCCUCAUAUUUUUGUGUUAUUUUCUCAUUUGUACACAAACCAACCUAAUAGAAAGUCUUACUAGGCAAAAAAAUGAAGUUGCUUUCCUAUAGCACUAAAGUUGCCUCUAUCGUACCCAAAAUUGCCUCGAAAAAAAGUUUGAUGAAACCUAUCUAUAUGAGAUCUAGUUUUGAAGAACUCGUCGCGAGAAACUCAGCUGUGAAAGCCAAAUUAGAUUUCGAUGCUUAAAUCAAAAGUUAUAGGUUUUUAAACUUUUUGGACCUCCAAAUAAAUACACAUGGGACAAGAUUCUUUUUUUGCUGGGUUGCGUCGGACACGUCAACAGCUCUUUCCAUAUUGAAAGAGAUCCCAUCAACGAGCGCUCGGGCGGCCACGUCGAGAAAAAAAAGAGAAGGAAAAAGCCCACCCCACUACCGACGACCGCCGACCGCUCCUCCUCCCACCUUCCCCGAUCCCCAACCUCCCUGGAUCCCGUCGCUGGUGACCGCUGACCUCCGCCGCCGCACGCCUGGCUUCUCCUCCUUCCGUCUCCUUGCUCGUGUCCAGUGUGCAUCGCCGGCCCUCCCAUGGCGCUGUCGCCGCGGCCACCCACUUCUCCUACCUCCCCACGGCGAGGCGUGCCUCCACCGCCACCGCGACCCCAGCCGUGCAUCUCCGGCGUGGCGCCUCCCCACCACCGCCACUACCCCAUCCCGCCCCUACCCCCUCCUCCGUCGCCGCCUGCCGAGCGGACCUCGAUUUCCCUUCAGGAGGAAGGGGUUCUGAGUUCAGGGAGACGGCCAUUGUGCGGGCCAGGGAGACGCGCGGGUCUUGCGGGCGCCGGUGUUCCAUAGCAGUAGAGCGCCGCCAUCGAAUUUUCAAGGAGAUGCGGCCCCUUCCCUGUCCAACUGCAACCAUGGCGUUGUCCAACCUCGUCUGUGCGCGCAGUCCAUUCUUGUUCACUCGCUCGCCAGCAGAGGCCAUCCCCGUCCAGCCCUCCUGUGGUAGGAAGGUCAAGCCCAUCGCAAGCUGCAGUCCACGAUAGUCACCCGGUCCUGCCUCCUUCAUCCUUCCCCACCUCGCCCUCUGCCUCGACCAGCCGGUUGGACAUCUUGUCAAGCUCGAGAACCUCUAUUGCAGAGCUAGCUAAUGGUUCUUCUUUUCCUGCCCCCACAGCUUCCCUUUCAGCCGUUGAAGCUACAGAUAGAGCCCGCAAUGCAGCAGCGUCACCCCAACGGCCAUGGGACGGUCGACGAUGGCUGGGUGUGGUGUGCGUCUCUCCGACGUGCUCGGCGUGCUGCCGAGGGGGCUGCAGUUUGAAGUGGCUGGGUAAUGAAGUUCAGAGAAUGCUUUUUUAGUACAUUCAGAGAAGUUGCUUUCUUGCUUUUUGUGAUAUUUUGGCUACGCAGAUACUUAGUGCAGAGAGGUUGUGACAUUUGGCUCCUCUCAUCCUGAACACUUGCACCACAAUCUCAUCUCAUGGGUAAAAUGACUAUUAGUAAAUUGGCACUAAAAAAUGAAUACAGAAUAAGUACAAAGACAUGAUGACCUCAUCUCACAGGUUCCAUCUCAAUAUAGCUCAAGCUUUUUAGAAACUAAAUUUGACACAAAGCAUUAAAUUGAUAUAGUUGUGAUAGCUUCUGAAGUAAUUUUAUCACUUUUGCAGCUUUGCCAAUUUAUUUGUAAAUGCUUUGUUUUCCACUAAUUUAUUUCGAAAUGCUUUUUUUCCAUAACAAUUAUUUUGGCAUUAGCAAAAUAGAAGUUUUGUCUGGUGCCAAGAGACCAUGCAGGCUGUUUCGUUACUGGAAAAAUGCCUGAAGCAUGAACGCAUAUUUGAUCCGUGGUGUCGUGCUUCGCAUCGGUGACCACCGGGGCUCCUUGGUCCAUGAACAGGUUUGCUCAGUGGCACGCACAAGUCGAGGAAGCUGCAGUUUUCGCUGGAUAAAGUUCAACUUCGUGCCUGGAUAAAGUUCAGUUGUCACUGAAGCUUCUGUUGUUCUCUAUCGCGCGCCUGUAGAUUGUCCAUGCAGGUCAAGUAAAAUUCUCAUGGAAGUUCAAAUAAAAAAGCAGCUGCAGCGCAACCGUCGGUGGCUAUAAUGUGUGGUGAAAACUGAAAUCUGAAACGAAUGUUGCUGGAUAUUAGUAGGCAGCAGAUUUUCUAAGGUUUGCUGGUGAACGCAACAACAGUAGUUUGUGCCAUUGGGGCCGUGCGGCAAGCAGAAAUCUACACAUGGAUGUACUCUCUCUGUCUCUCCUGAAAUUCUAGGGCUAGUCUACUUGUAACUCUAUCUCAUCUAUUUGUAUUUUCUAUCUCACAUACCUGAACAUAGUAGCAAACUAGCAGUGUUGUAUGGUCAGUCUAUGUGAGAGAGUUUGUGUGAACGUGGUGUUUACUUUUCUUCAGGAAGCCAUUUUUAAUAAUGAACUA